AGUUUGAUCAUGGCUCAGAAUUGAACGCUGGCGCACUUCCCACAUGCAAGUCGAACGAACGACUCGGUCUGGUGGCGAGUGGCGAACGGGUGAGUAGUCGCAUCGGAACCAAACACCGCAGCGGUGAUAACUACGCGAAAGCGUUAGGCCAUUACCGCAUACACCCUUCGGGGGAAAGCGGGGACCUUCGGGCCUCGCACUGCGCCAGAGCGGCUGAUAUCGGACUAGCUAGUUGGUGGGGUAACGCGGUUCUAAGGCGACGAUCCGUGGCUGGUUCUGAGGACGACCAGCCACGACCGGAUUGAGAGACAUCAUCCGCAUCCUACGGAGCGCAGUAGGUAAGAACUUUGGACAAUGGGGAAACUUCUGAUCCGUCCACAUCCCACGCCGUGUGCGUAUUAGCGCCUGGGCCGUAAAGCACUUUUUGGCAGUGGAAAGAAACGGCACGGACAAUACCCCACAACUGACGGUACCUGCAGAAUAAGCACCGGCUAACUACGUGCCAGCAGCCGCGGUAAUACGUAGGGUGCAAGCGUUAAUCGGAAUUACUUUGGCGUAAAGCGUGCGCAGGCGGUUCGAAAGAAAGAUGUGAAAUCCCAGAGCUUAACUUUGGAACUGCAUUUUUAACUACCGAGCUAGAGUGUGUCAGAGGGAGGUGAAUUCCGCGUGUAGCAGUGAAAUGCGUAGAUAUGCGGAGGAACACCGGUGGCGAAGGCAGCCUCCUGGGAUAACACUGACGCUCAUGCACGAAAGCGUGGGGAGCAAACAGGAUUAGAUACCCUGGUAGUCCACGCCCUAAACGAUGUCAACUAGCUGUUGGGGCCUUCGGGCCUCGGUAGCGCAGCUAACGCGUGAAGUUGACCGCCUGGGGAGUACGGUCGCAAGAUUAAAACUCAAAGGAAUUGACGGGGACCCGCACAAGCGGUGGACGAUGUGGAUUAAUUCGAUGCAACGCGAAAACCUUAAAUCUACCCUUGACAUGUCUGGAAUCCUGAAGAGACUUGGGGAGUGCUCGCAAGAGAACCGGAACACAGGUGCUGCAUGGCUGUCGUCAGCUCGUGGCCGUGAGAUGUUGGGUUAAGUCCUGCAACGAGCGCAACCUCUUGUCAUUAGUUGCUACGAAAGGGCACUCUAAUGAGACUGCCGGUGCACCGGAGGAAUGCGGCAUCACCCGGUCCCAUGGGUCUUAUGGUAGGGCCCCACGUCAUACAAUGGUCGGGACAGGUGGUCGCCAACCCGCGAGGGGAGCCGCCAAUCCCAGAAACCCGAUCGUAGUCCGGAUCGCAGUCUGCAACUCGACCGCGUGAAGUCGGAAUCGCUAGUAAUCGCGGAUCAGCAUGUCGCGGUGAAUACGUUCCCGGGUCUUGUACACACCGCCCGUCACACCAUGGGAGUGGGUUUUACCAGAAGUAGUUAGCCUAACCGUAAGGAGGGCGAUUACCACGGUAGGAUUCAUGACUGGGGUGAAGUCGUAACAAGGUAG
rnacentral:rRNA from 1 species